CUAGAACCUGUCUCACUACAGGAUGAAGCCUAGCUUACGAGAAGGGAGGUGAGGCUCUUGUCUCUCACUGCCAUCAACAGGUUUUGAGACGGGGACACACAGAGGUCCCGCUAGGCCUUGGUUCUGUCCUCAGUAAAACAAGAUGGUGGUGAGUUGGCCUUCCUCAGAAUCCGCAGUAUCACGGCUGCAUACAGCAGAAAAUGGCAGUUCAAAUUCGUCAUUUGUUAUCUCACACAAAAGGCAGAAGAGAAAGCGCCUCAGGCAAGGGACAACCGGCAGCUCCAUACCAUCGGAGGUCCAGCUUCCUUCUCUGCAAGGGAGCUGGGGCCCCUCUGGGCGAACAUUGCCCACUCACACUGUUCCCAGGCAACAGCGCCUAUCUCUCCUUGCGGAGAGAAGGAAAGCUUUCCCAGAGGCUCUGCCCAGAGCCGUCUCCUCACAUCUCAUUGGAGGAACUUGGUCAUAUGCCAACUCCUGAACCAAUCAUUGGUUAGGAACAUAGAACUACCUGGAUUAGCUAGGAACCAAUCUGGACUUAACUCUGAGUCACCUUACUCUGAGUGAUUGGAAGGGGAAGAUGGCACCUACGAAGUACAGAGGUUCUGUUCAUAAGGGGAAAGAUGCGGAUUAGAUCCGAAAUGGGCAACCUGCAGUGUCUGCCAUAGAUACCACUUACAUUUAAAUGGCAAACAACAGAUCCUGUCCCCUUCCCAUCUGACCUUCUUCCUCCAUUUCUCCCGUCUUCCUUUUUAUCCUUUUAAUCUCUAUUCCAGUUAUAACUGGAGGGAAUAUAAACCAAAUCAAACUGGUUUAAGACUUUAAAAAAAUUACUGGCUUAUGUAACUGAAAAGUUGAAGAGGAGAUUGGCCCAGCUUGAUCCAAGGAUUUGAGUGGUAUCAUCACGGAGGGCUAGACUUUUCCAUCUCUUCAUUGUCAGCUCUGUGCCAGCUUAUUUCUCAGGCUAACUCUAUUUGUUAGCUAAUGUGGCCUUUGGUGACUCAAAACUUCCACAAUCCCCAACUCAAGGCUCUGGAAAGACAAUGUUCCAGUUAAUAGUUAUGAAGUCACUCUUGAAGAUACGAAGAACUGACUCAUUGGAAAAGACCCUGAUGUUGGGAAAGAUUGAAGACAGGAGGAGAAGGGGACGACAGAGGAUGAGAUGGUUGGAUGGCAUCACCAACUCAAUGGAGGCAGCGGGAGCACAGAGAAGUUUUCUGGUUGUGAAUCAUGUGGGAUCGUAGCUUGCCUGCCAGAGAUCAAACCUACACCCCCUGCAUUGGAAGGCUCACGGCUUGGAGGGUGGGGUGACUCUGAGGUCACCUCAGCACUUAGCAGAGUGGCCAGCCUCGGUCAGCACUCAGGACGUGUGAUGAUGAACGAACCCACUUGCAGACGGAUGGCUCCAUUUGCCUUCUUGUUGCUCUAAGUUCACU
ensembl:lncRNA